rnacentral:rRNA from 1 species
GACGAACGCUGGCGGCGUGCCUAAUACAUGCAAGUGGGACGCAAGGGAACACACUGUGCUUGCACACCGUGUUUUCUUGAGUCGCGAACGGGUGAGUAACGCGUAGGUAACCUGCCUAUUAGCGGGGGAUAACUAUUGGAAACGAUAGCUAAUACCGCAUAAUAUUAAUUAUUGCAUGAUAAUUGAUUGAAAGAUGCAAGCGCAUCACUAGUAGAUGGACCUGCGUUGUAUUAGCUAGUUGGUAAGGUAAGAGCUUACCAAGGCGACGAUACAUAGCCGACCUGAGAGGGUGAUCGGCCACACUGGGACUGAGACACGGCCCAGACUCCUACGGGAGGCAGCAGUAGGGAAUCUUCGGCAAUGGACGAAAGUCUGACCGAGCAACGCCGCGUGAGUGAAGAAGGUUUUCGGAUCGUAAAGCUCUGUUGUAAGUCAAGAACGUGUGUGAGA